GGAUUGUGGCUCAGUGGUAGAGCGCUCAUCUACCAUGCAUGGGGUACUGGGUUCGAUCCUCAGCACCA
rnacentral:tRNA from 1 species